GUUCUUCCUUCUUACGAGGGGAAAGAAUAGCCGCCUGUGAAAGCUGUUCUGCGUAACUCGUACUUAUACCUUCUCCGCAAAAUGAAGCAGUAGGAGAACGUGGAACGCUGCCCCGCUCCCCCAUGAUGUAUUGUUCCGUUUUGCUGACUAGACUUUUUGCUAUUUUUCGAAAAAGAUCUUAUUACAAAGGUAGAGGGAAACAUUUGGCAAUAAAGAUGAUUUAAACAAAUAAUUCGUCAAGUGGAAAUAAAAAUACCCAAUAAAAGUGUAAGGAUUAAAUGGAA